rnacentral:rRNA from 1 species
AUGUGGACAAAUGGAAACAGCAAUUUGCAGUACAAGUUCUUCGGCGAUGUUAUCACAUUCGACACGACGUAUCGGACGAACUUGUACGACAUGCCAUUUGGUUUGUUCGUUGGAGUGAACAAUCAUUUUCAAAGCAUAAUACUAGCUUGUAUUCUGAUGCGUGAUGAACAAGUGGAGAGCUUCCAAUGGUUAUUUUCUGAAUUCAUCAACAUGAUGGGCGGCAAACAUCCGCAGACAAUAUUGACAGACCAAGCAAGAGCCAUGGAGAUAGCAAUCAAAAGUGAGCUUCCUGAUACUGUCCACAGGUUGUGCAAGUGGCAUAUUCUUAAGAAGGCAAAAGAAAACCUUGGCCCACUGUACACAAGCAAAAGCGAGUUCAGGGCUGAAUUUCACAAAGUCGUGAAUCACAUGAUAAGUGAAGAGGAAUUUGAGACUGCAUGGGGUGCACUUGUUGAGAAAUACAAUUUGAAAUCCCACAAUUACAUGAGAAACCUCUACGAGAUACGUCAUAAGUGGGCGAAGCCAUACUUCAAGGGCGUCUUCUGUGCGAAAAUGACCAGCACCCAGCGUAGCGAGAGCGCCAACAACAUGCUGAAGAUUUACAUGCCGCCAGCUAGCUCAAUGCAUGUAUUUGUGCGCCAAUACAUGAGGCUUCAAUUCGACCGUGAAUCAGAUGAGAGCUACCAAGAGAAAAGAACAAGGAUUCUGAGUUAG